rnacentral:rRNA from 1 species
UUUAUGGAGAGUUUGAUCCUGGCUCAGGAUGAACGCUGGCGGCGUGCCUAAUACAUGCAAGUCGAGCGAACAGACGGGGAGCUUGCUCCCCCGACGUUAGCGGCGGACGGGUGAGUAACACGUGGGCAACCUACCUAUAAGACUGGAAUUACUUCGGGAAACCGGGGCUAAUGCCGGGUAACAUGUUGGACCGCAUGGUCCUUGAUUGAAAGACGGUCUUGGUGUCACUUUUUGAUGGACCCUCGCCGGAUUAGCUAGAUGGUAUGGUAACGGAUUAUCCAGGCAACGAUCCGUUGCCGAUAUGUGCGUGGUGUCGGCCACUCUGGUACUGAGAAAACG